GACGAACGCUGGCGGCGUGCUUAACACAUGCAAGUCGAACGGAAAGGCCCUGCUUUUGUGGGGUGCUCGAGUGGCGAACGGGUGAGUAACACGUGAGUAACCUGCCCUUGACUUUGGGAUAACUUCAGGAAACUGGGGCUAAUACCGGAUAGGAGCUCCUGCUGCAUGGUGGGGGUUGGAAAGUUUCGGCGGUUGGGGAUGGACUCGCGGCUUAUCAGCUUGUUGGUUGGGUAGUGGCUUACCAAGGCUUUGACGGGUAGCCGGCCUGGGAGGGUGACCGGCCACAUUGGGACUGCGAUACGGCCCAGACUCCUACGGGAGGCAGCAGUGGGGAAUAUUGCACAAUGGGCGGAAGCCUGAUGCAGCAACGCCGCGUGCGGGAUGACGGCCUUCGGGUUGUAAACCGCUUUCGCCUGUGACGAAGCGUGAGUGACGGUAAUGGGUAAAGAAGCACCGGCUAACUACGUG
rnacentral:rRNA from 1 species